rnacentral:rRNA from 1 species
UCUUGGUCAUUUAGAGGAAGUAAAAGUCGUAACAAGGUCUCCGUAGGUGAACCUGCGGAGGGAUCAUUACACAAAUAUGAAGGCGGGCUGGAACCUCUCGGGGUUACAGCCUUGCUGAAUUAUUCACCCUUGUCUUUUGCGUACUUCUUGUUUCCUUGGUGGGUUCGCCCACCACUAGGACAAACAUAAACCUUUUGUAAUUGCAAUCAGCGUCAGUAACAAAUUAAUAAUUACAACUUUCAACAACGGAUCUCUUGGUUCUGGCAUCGAUGAAGAACGCAGCGAAAUGCGAUAAGUAGUGUGAAUUGCAGAAUUCAGUGAAUCAUCGAAUCUUUGAACGCACAUUGCGCCCUUUGGUAUUCCAAAGGGCAUGCCUGUUCGAGCGUCAUUUGUACCCUCAAGCUUUGCUUGGUGUUGGGCGUCUUGUCUCUAGCUUUGCUGGAGACUCGCCUUAAAGUAAUUGGCAGCCGGCCUACUGGUUUCGGAGCGCAGCACAAGUCGCACUCUCUAUCAGCAAAGGUCUAGCAUCCAUUAAGCCUUUUUUUCAACUUUUGACCUCGGAUCAGGUAGGGAUACCCGCUGAACUUAAGCAUAUCAAUAAGCG